rnacentral:rRNA from 1 species
AACGUAGGACGCAAGCGUUAUCCGGAGUUACUGGGCGUAAAGCGCGGGCAGGCGGUUCUGCCAGUCUGAUGUGAAAUCUCCUCGCUCAACGGGGAGCAGCCAUUGGAAACUACAGAACUGGAGUCUGACAGAGGUAGGCGGAAUUCCGGGUGGAGUGGUGAAAUGCGUAGAGAUCCGGAGGAACACCAGAGGCGAAGGCGGCCUACUGGGUCAGUACUGACGCUGAGCCGCGAAAGCCAGGGGAGCGAACGGG